AACGAACGCUGGCGGCAUGCCUAACACAUGCAAGGCGAACGAGACCUUCGGGUCUAGUGGCGCACGGGUGCGUAACGCGUGGGAACCUGCCCUUAGGUUCGGAAUAACUCCCCGAAAGGGGUGCUAAUACCGGAUAAUGUCUUCGGACCAAAGAUUUAUCGCCUUUGGAUGGGCCCGCGUUGGAUUAGCUAGUUGGUAGGGUAAAAGCCUACCAAGGCGACGAUCCAUAGCUGGUCUGAGAGGAUGAUCAGCCACACUGGGACUGAGACACGGCCCAGACUCCUCCGGGCAGCAGCAGUGGGGAAUCUUGGACAAUGGGCGAAAGCCUGAUCCAGCAAUGCCGCGUGAGUGAUGAAGGCCUUCGGGUUGUAAAGCUCUUUUACCCGGGAUGAUAAUGCCAGCACCGGGAGAAUCAGCUCCGGCUAACUCCGUG
rnacentral:rRNA from 1 species